CCUACGGGUGGCAGCAGUGGGGAAUAUUGCACAAUGGGGGAAACCCUGAUGCAGCAACGCCGCGUGAAGGAUGACGGUUUUCGGAUUUUAAACUUCUUUUCUUAGUGAAGAAUAAUGACGGUAGCUUAGGAUCAAGCCACGGCUAACUACGUGCCAGUAGGCGCGGUAAUACGUAGGUAGCAACCGUGGUCCGGAAUUACUGGGGUUAAAUGGAGCUCAGGCGGGAAGACAAGUUAGCUGUGAAAACUACGGGCUUAACUUAUGGAGUGCAGUUGAAACUGAUGUUCUUGAGUGAAGUAGAGGUAUGCGGAAUGCGGGGUGUAGCGGUGAAAUGCGUAGAUAUCAGGAGGAACACCGGUGGCGAAGGCGGCAAACUGG
rnacentral:rRNA from 1 species